rnacentral:rRNA from 1 species
UACGUAGGGUGCGAGCGUUAAUCGGGAUUACUGGGCGUAAAGCGUGCGCAGGCGGUUCGCCAAGUCAGGUGUGAAAUCCCCGGGCUUAACCUGGGAAUUGCGCUUGAAACUAGCGGGCUUGAGUGUGGCAGAGGGGGGUGGAAUUCCACGUGUAGCAGUGAAAUGCGUAGAGAUGUGGAGGAACACCGAUGGCGAAGGCAGCCCCCUGGGUCAACACUGACGCUCAUGCACGAAAGCGUGGGGAGCAAACAGG